AUACGUAGGGGGCAAGCGUUAUCCGGAUUUACUGGGUGUAAAGGGAGCGUAGGCGGCGAAGCAAGUCAGAUGUGAAAAUCCAGUGCUCAACAUUGGACGUGCAUUUGAAACUGUUUAGCUAGAGUACCGGAGAGGUAAGAGGAAUUCCUAGUGUAGCGGUGAAAUGCGUAGAUAUUAGGAGGAACACCAGUGGCGAAGGCGUCUUACUGGACGGAUACUGACGCUGAGGCUCGAAAGCGUGGGGAGCAAACAGGAUUAGAUACCCUGGUAGUCCACGCUGUAAACGAUGAUUACUAGGUGUGGGGGGACUGACCCCUUCCGUGCCGCAGUUAACACAAUAAGUAAUCCACCUGGGGAGUACGGCCGCAAGGUUGAAACUCAAAUGAAUUGACGGGG
rnacentral:rRNA from 1 species